AGUAACGCGUAUGCAAUCUGCCUUUCACAGAGGGAUAGCCCAGAGAAAUUUGGAUUAAUACCUCAUAGCAUUACAGGAUGGCAUCAUUUUGUAAUUAAAGUCACAACGGUGAAAGAUGAGCAUGCGUCCCAUUAGCUAGUUGGUAAGGUAACGGCUUACCAAGGCGACGAUGGGUAGGGGUCCUGAGAGGGAGAUCCCCCACACUGGUACUGAGACACGGACCAGACUCCUACGGGAGGCAGCAGUGAGGAAUAUUGGUCAAUGGACGCAAGUCUGAACCAGCCAUGCCGCGUGCAGGAUGACGGUCCUAUGGAUUGUAAACUGCUUUUGCACAGGAAGAAACACUCCGACGUGUCGGAGCUUGACGGUACUGUGAGAAUAAGGAUCGGCUAACUCCGUGCCAGCAGCCGCGGUAAUACGGAGGAUCCAAGCGUUAUCCGGAAUCAUUGGGUUUAAAGGGUCCGUAGGCGGUCUUGUAAGUCAGUGGUGAAAGCCCAUCGCUCAACGGUGGAACGGCCAUUGAUACUGCAGGACUUGAAUUAUUGGGAAGUAACUAGAAUAUGUAGUGUAGCGGUGAAAUGCUUAGAGAUUACAUGGAAUACCAAUUGCGAAGGCAGGUUACUACCAAUUUAUUGACGCUGAUGGACGAAAGCGUGGGUAGCGAACAGGAUUAGAUGCCCUGGUAGUCCACGCCGUAAACGAUGGAUACUAGCUGUUGGGAGCAAUCUCAGUGGCUAAGCGAAAGUGAUAAGUAUCCCACCUGGGGAGUACGAACGCAAGUUUGAAACUCAAAGGAAUUGACGGGGGCCCGCACAAGCGGUGGAGCAUGUGGUUUAAUUCGAUG
rnacentral:rRNA from 1 species